rnacentral:rRNA from 1 species
UACAGAGGUCUCAAGCGUUGUUCGGAUUCAUUGGGCGUAAAGGGUGCGUAGGCGGCGCGGUAAGUCGGGUGUGAAAUCUUGGAGCUUAACUCCGAAACUGCAUUCGAUACUGCCGUACUUGAGGACUGGAGAGGAGACUGGAAUUUACGGUGUAGCGGUGAAAUGCGUAGAUAUCGUAAGGAAGACCAGUGGCGAAGGCGGGUCUCUGGACAGUUCCUGACGCUGAGGCACGAAGGCCAGGGGAGCAAACGGG